rnacentral:lncRNA from 1 species
GGACUGUGGGAGGUUCUAGCUGUAACAGGAGCAGGGGCCCAGGGGGCAUGGCUAAACACCUGACAUACCUGAUAGGCAGAAGUCGCCACCUACUGGGUCACCAGGGUCCAAGGCUUGUACUCAACCUGAGGCCAGGCUGUCUGUGCACAGCUCACCACCCCACAAGUUCCCCUAACGCCCAUUCCUUUUUUUUGCCCUCCAUUGAUUUAUAGUUUUAUAGUUUCAAACAGCCAUGGGGAUGAAGGACGACACUUCCUCCCACUACUAAGAAAACCCAACUAAACAAGAAUUUGUACCCCAACAAGACCCGUCUAAAUGCACAAAUGGGGAUGACGGGAAAACAGGUUCAUGACAACCUCCUCCCAAGAGAGGAUUCCAGGAGUGUUUCAGCACUAGGUGAAAGGGCCUAUGUUCUAUGAUAUCAGAUCACAGGUCCUGAUGACCUUCUCCACAAGGUGUGGUUUCAGGACCUGCAGCAUCAGUCACCAGGAAGGAACUGAAUAUAGCUUUCUGACCCCCAUCCUGGGUACAGAGGAACAAAACUACUUGGAAGAAGCAGGCUGAAUUCAUAACAGCACAAAACUCCUUCUGCAGUUCAGCAAAUCCCGUACGGUGUACCAGCUCAGCGAGUUCUCAGCCUCACAAUCUCCCCCAUGCCAUCUUUCGUCU